CCUACGGGAGGCAGCAGUAGGGAAUAUUGCUCAAUGGGGGAAACCCUGAAGCAGCAACGCCGCGUGGAGGAUGAAGGUUUUCGGAUUGUAAACUCCUUUUGUUAGAGAAGAUAAUGACGGUAUCUAACGAAUAAGCACCGGCUAACUCCGUGCCAGCAGCCGCGGUAAUACGGAGGGUGCAAGCGUUACUCGGAAUCACUGGGCGUAAAGAGCGCGUAGGCGGGAGAGCAAGUCAGAUGUGAAAUCCUAUGGCUUAACCAUAGAAUUGCAUUUGAAACUGUUGUUCUAGAGUAUGGGAGAGGGAGGGAGAAUGUGUGGUGUAGGGGUAAAAUGCGUAGAGAUCAAGAGGAAUACG
rnacentral:rRNA from 1 species